rnacentral:misc_RNA from 1 species
UCACCAGGUUGUGCUCCAUAAGUGCCCUUGAUUUGCUGAGGUGAAGUUUGUUGAGGAACAGUUCUACCAGCCCCAUAUCCAUAGGGCAUGGCAUCAACACGACUAGAUAAGGGUUGUGGAACUGCUGCAUAUGACACUUGCAAAGGCAUGCUGUUUGGCAGCGUCUCCGGUGGCGAUGAAUUUGUUGGUUGGCCUGGGGGUGGAUAGGUAGGAUAAACUGAUGGCAAUGAGGGCCUUAUCUGAG